CCUGUUUGUAGAAAUUCUCACACUCCUGAGCGGGACUUUUGCCACUGGGAUGAGUCACUGAGAGCAAAGGCACCAUUUGCAGAGACAGCGGCUGGUGGCUACACGCAUGUCUGCACUGCUCACUCUGGGAAAGAGGUGCACCUGGAGCCCACAGCACGGCACGGCACUGCAGCCCCUCCAAUAACAGCCACCCGAAACAUGGCUGCGCAUGAAAGCAGCUUUCAUGCUUUCAAAGACGAACAGCUUGCAAUGGAAUUGAUCUCUCACCAGUACCUAUAAAAAAGCUCUCAUGGCCAGCACAGCACAGCACAGCGAUUCACCUUGGGCAGGAUCCUGCAGACCACCACAAGGCCAACGGGAUGGGCAAAACUGCAAUUCUGAAUCUGUUUAUUUUAAAUUUACCCAGUCUGCCAGCCCCCUGCAAGUAAUUUCAAGGCUUCAGUAUGAAUUUCUGACUCCUUUUCUACAUGUAAGGCACUGGCAGUACAUCAACCUUCAAACAUAUCUUGUGUGUAAACCAAUUAAUUCUUGCAGCAAUGCAUUACUUGGUAACCACAAAUCUUAUGCUCUUUUUAUUAUUUUUUCGCCUGAUCUCAGCCAUGACAAAUAAAACUGCAAAACUUG